rnacentral:rRNA from 1 species
GAUGAACGCUAGCGGCAGGCUUAAUACAUGCAAGUCGAGGGGCAGCAUGAAUGUAGCAAUACAUUUGAUGGCGACCGGCAAACGGGUGCGGAACACGUACACAACCUUCCUAUAAGUGGGGAAUAGCCCAGAGAAAUUUGGAUUAAUACCCCGUAACAUAAUGAUGUGGCAUCACAUUAUUAUUAUAGCUUCGGCGCUUAUUGAUGGGUGUGCGGCUGAUUAGAUAGUUGGCGGGGUAACGGCCCACCAAGUCUACGAUCAGUAGCUGAUGUGAGAGCACGAUCAGCCACACGGGCACUGAGACACGGGCCCGACUCCUACGGGAGGCAGCAGUAAGGAAUAUUGGUCAAUGGACGCAAGUCUGAACCAGCCAUGCCGCGUGAAGGAUUAAGGUCCUCUGGAUUGUAAACUUCUUUUAUCUGGGACGAAAAAAGGCUAUUCUUAGUCACUUGACGGUACCAGAUGAAUAAGCACCGGCUAACUCCGUGCCAGCCGCCGCUGUAAUAC